GGGGGGGGGGGGGGGGGGGGGGGGGGGGGGGGGGGGGGGGGGGGGGGGGGGGGGGGGGGGGGGUGGGCGGGGGGGGGACGGGUGAGUGACACGGGAGGAAGCUGGCCUUGACGUGGGGGGGAGUGCAGGGGGCUGGGGCUGAUACCGGGUAGGAGCUCCUGCUGCAUGGUGGGGGUUGGAAAGUUUCGGCGGUUGGGGAUGGACUCGCGGCUUAUCAGCUUGUUGGUGGGGUAGUGGCUUACCAAGGCUUUGACGGGUAGCCGGCCUGAGAGGGUGACCGGCCACAUUGGGACUGAGAUACGGCCCAGACUCCUACGGGAGGCAGCAGUGGGGAAUAUUGCACAAUGGGCGGAAGCCUGAUGCAGCAACGCCGCGUGCGGGAUGACGGCCUUCGGGUUGUAAACCGCUUUCGCCUGUGACGAAGCGUGAGUGACGGUAAUGGGUAAAGAAGCACCGGCUAACUACGUG
rnacentral:rRNA from 1 species